rnacentral:lncRNA from 1 species
GGGGUAUUGACCUGACUGGGGCAGAGACAGUGGAACUUUCCCCCUGCCUGAUGUAGAAGUCAAAGAGAGCUGUAAUCUACCUCAGAAGAUGCACUGAUGAGCUCUAGGGAUUGGGAUGAAGAGACUGAGGAAUUGCUUUGAAAGCCAGAUCAGCCUGACUCCUCCCCCAGCUUCCCCUCUCCGGGUUAGAUGUCGGCUUCAUGCAGCUGAAGGAUUGCACUGCCUGUGACAGUCAGUUAACAAGCUACAACAGCCCGUUUACCUGCUUCGAGGCGCUCCCUGCCGUGUUCUCCAGCUGGCUUCGUCUUGCACACACAAUUACUUUCCAGCUUCAGCCGCUGCUCCCAACAGUUACCUCCACAUUUGCCUUGAAGCCCACAUAUACUGUUCCCCGU